rnacentral:rRNA from 1 species
GAUGAACGCUGGCGGCGUGCCUAAUACAUGCAAGUCGAACGAAACUUCUUUAUCACCGAGUGCUUGCACUCAUCGAUAAAGAGUUGAGUGGCGAACGGGUGAGUAACACGUGGGCAACCUGCCCAAAAGAGGGGGAUAACACUUGGAAACAGGUGCUAAUACCGCAUAACCAUAGUUACCGCAUGGUAACUAUGUAAAAGGUGGCUAUACUACCGCUUUUGGAUGGGCCCGCGGCGCAUUAGCUAGUUGGUAGGGUAAAGGCUUACCAAGGCAAUGAUGCGUAGCCGAAUUGAGAGGUUGAUCGGCCACAUUGGGACUGAGACACGGCCCAAACUCCUACGGGAGGCAGCAGUAGGGAAUCUUCCACAAUGGGCGAAAGCCUGAUGGAGCAACGCCGCGUGGGUGAAGAAGGUCUUCGGAUCGUAAAACCCUGUUGUUAGAGAAGAAAGUGCGUGAGAGUAACUGUUCACGUUUCGACGGUAUCUAACCAGAAAGCCACGGCUAACUACGUG